AAGCUCGUAGUUGAAUUUCGGGUUUGGCUGGGCGGUCUCCCAAUGGGUUGCACUGUUCCGGCUGAAUCUUUCCUUCUGGCGAACCAUUGUGCUAUUCAUUCAGUGCGCUGGGGAACCAGGACUUUUACUUUGAAAAAAUUAGAGUGUUUAAAGCAGGCUUACGCUUGAAUACAUUAGCAUGGAAUAAUAAAAUAGGACUUUGGUUUUAUUUUGUUAGUUUCUAAGACCGAAGUAAUGAUUAAUAGGGAUAGUUGGG
rnacentral:rRNA from 1 species